UACGUAGGGUGCGAGCGUUAAUCGGAAUUACUGGGCGUAAAGCGUGCGCAGGCGGCUUCGCAAGUCAGACGUGAAAUCCCCGGGCUUAACCUGGGAAUGGCGUUUGAAACUACGGAGCUGGAGUAUGGCAGAGGGGGGUGGAAUUCCACGUGUAGCGGUGAAAUGCGUAGAUAUGUGGAGGAACACCGAUGGCGAAGGCAGCCCCCUGGGCAAAUACUGACGCUCAUGCACGAAAGCGUGGGGAGCAAACAGG
rnacentral:rRNA from 1 species